UACGUAGGGGGGCUAGCGUUGUCCGGAAUCAUUGGGCGUAAAGCGCGUGUAGGCGGCCCGGUAAGUCCGCUGUGAAAGUCGGGGGGCUCAACCCUCGAAUGCCGGUGGAUACUGUCGGGCUCGAGUACGGGAGAGGCGAGUGGAAUUCCUGGUGUAGCGGUGAAAUGCGCAGAUAUCAGGAGGAACACCGAUUGCGAAGGCAGCUCGCUGGAACGUUACUGACGCUGAGACGCGAAAGCGUGGGGAGCAAACAGG
rnacentral:rRNA from 1 species